rnacentral:rRNA from 1 species
CUGCUUCUACUUUCUGUAUGGAGCUGGGAGCGCCUGCCUGUUGGACGCCCGAAGAGCGUCAGGUUUGAUCCUUGGUAUGCAGAUGAACAUGACGAAUUACGGCGCCCCACGUGGGCUUACAAGUGGGAUAUCGUUUCCGAGAUGACGAACGAUGUCAAUCUCAUGUACCAAAAGUACAUUGCCGAGUUGGACACGAUUACGCCUGAGCAGGUAAGGAGGUCAUUACUUUAG